AGGAUAAACGCUGGCGGCGUGCCUAACACAUGCAAGUCGAACGUCCUACGCAAGUAGGGAGUGGCGGACGGGUGAGUAACACGUGACUAACCUACCUUCGAGUGGGGGAUAACCUCGGGAAACCGAGGCUAAUACCGCAUAACAUCGUGAGAUCAAAGCAGUAAUGCGCUGGAAGAGGGGGUCGCGGCUGAUUAGCUAGUUGGCGGGGUAAUGGCCCACCAAGGCGAAGAUCGGUAGCC
rnacentral:rRNA from 1 species